rnacentral:lncRNA from 1 species
GGCUUUGAUAUUUCUGUUAGAUCUUUCACAGAGUUCCCAUUGUUGAGUUCCUACUAUUUUAACACCUUCCUGUUACACAAUCGUCUGCCUCACUUCUGGACGACUUAAGAUAGGGAAUAUAAACUCAGUAAAAUAACAGCCUUUGUUCUUCACUUUCCCCAUCUUAACUAAUGUCCUAAGAGUUGAACAAAUUCUUUAUAUGGAGUGCUCCCAUCACAUGUUCAAGGUGCCUACAACUUAUUUAAAACUCAUGUCAUGUAACCCUUAAAAAUCAAAACUUGGCAUUUGCAGAAUGGAUUAAUCUAAAGUUCACACAAUGAGCCUUCCUAAAAUACAUGCUUGGCAUCAAAGAAAACCUAUGAGGUGUGUACGUACAUGCACAGACACAGAAAUUUCAUUGUGGUUUGGGCUGAAAAUGUAAAAUACAAAAAUCUUAACAAAAAACCAUCAGAUCGCCUUAAAGCUGAACUAUGACUUAAUGCAAUUAGGAUUCUAAAGGAAACCACACUUCAGUAUCUUUUGCAGCCAUUUUAAUGUUGAUGUUCUCUGCUCCCCAUUUUCUAUGACUCUGCUCAUCCUUAGGUAUGUGAAUUAAGUUAGCAUAUAAUAACAGACGAGAUUCUGUGCAGUUGUGUGCUGAGAUAUUAAGGACACUGUAUAUAGUUGAAGACAAAGUUGGACAUUAUUUCUUCAGUAUUUUCUAGCAGACACUUGUUUUAAGCUUCUAGCUACAAUAACAUCGCAUUAUAUUUAUCUAUAUGGUGUACCUAAAUUAUUGCAGUGAAUUAGAAAUGUACAACUGCUUGGUGUACUGGAAAAAAGGAACAAAUGUAUGUAUUGUUGGUAAGUGAAUAAUGAAAACAAUGAAAAAUAACAUUCCUUAGUGCAAAUAAAGUCACUGUGUGUGCUCU